UACGAAGGAUGCAAGCGUUAUCCGGAUUCACUGGGUUUAAAGGGUGUGCAGGUGGCUUAAUAAGUCAGUGGUGAAAGCCCCCGGCUCAAUCGGGGAACUGCCAUAGAUACUGUUAUUCUUGAGUGUGGUUGAGGCGGAUGGAAUAUGACGUGUAGCGGUGAAAUGCUUAGAUAUGACGUAGAACACCGAUCGCGAAGGCAGCCCGCCAAACCAUUACUGACGCUGAAACACGAAAGUGCGGGGAUCAAACAGG
rnacentral:rRNA from 1 species